rnacentral:rRNA from 1 species
AUUGAACGCUGGCGGCAUGCCUUACACAUGCAAGUCGAACGGCAGCACGGGGCAACCUGGUGGCGAGUGGCGAACGGGUGAGUAAUGCAUCGGAACGUACCUUUCAGUGGGGGAUAACGUAGCGAAAGUUACGCUAAUACCGCAUAUUCUGUGAGCAGGAAAGCAGGGGAUCGCAAGACCUUGCGUUGCUUUAGCGGCCGAUGUCAGAUUAGCUAGUUGGUGAGGUAAGGGCUCACCAAGGCGACGUUCUGUAGCGGGUCUGAGAGGAUGAUCCGCCACAUUGGAACUGAGACACGGUCCAGACUCCUACGGGAGGCAGCAGUGGGGAAUUUUGGACAAUGGGGGCAACCCUGAUCCAGCCAUGCCGCGAGAGUGAAGAAGGCCUUCGGGUUGUAAAGCUCUUUCGGCCGGGAAGAAAUCGCACGGGCUAAUACCCUGUGUGGAUGACGGUACCGGAAUAAGAAGCACCGGCUAACUACGUGCCAGCCGCCGCCGUAACAC